rnacentral:rRNA from 1 species
UACGGAGGGUGCUAGCGUUGUCCGGAAUUAUUGGGCGUAAAGGGCUCGUAGGCGGUUUGUCGCGUCGGGAGUGAAAACAUCCAGCUUAACUGGGUGCUUGCUUUCGAUACGGGCAGACUAGAGGUAUGCAGGGGAGAACGGAAUUCCUGGUGUAGCGGUGAAAUGCGCAGAUAUCAGGAGGAACACCGGUGGCGAAGGCGGUUCUCUGGGCAUGAUCUGACGCUGAGGAGCGAAAGUGUGGGGAGCGAACAGG